rnacentral:rRNA from 1 species
GACGAACGCUGGCGGCGUGCCUAAUACAUGCAAGUCGAACGCAGUGGGGACGGGUGAAUAACCCGUGGGUAACCUCCCAUCAGAGGGGAUAACACUUGGAAACAGGUGCUAAACCGAUACUGAUGGAUGGUCCGGCGGGGCAUUAGCCAGUUGGUGAGGUAACGGCUCACCAGGGCCACGAUGCAUAGCCGACCUGAGAGGGGGAGCGGCCACACGGGGACGGAGACACGGCCCAGACUCCUGCGUGAGGCAGCAGUAGGUAAUAUUCGGCAAUGGUCGAAAGUCUGACCGAGCAACGCCGCGUGAGUGAAGAAGGUUUUCGGAUCGUAAAACUCUGUUGGUGGAGAAGCGGUAUCUAACCAGAAAGCCACGGCUAACUACGUGCCAGCCGCCGCGGUAAUAC